rnacentral:tRNA from 1 species
AGCUUAGUAGCUCAGGGGAAGAGCGCCGGGCUCAUAACCCGGAGGUCACUGGAUCAAACCCAGUCUAAGCUA